GUGCUCGUUUUGAGGGCACAUAUGCUAAAAUUGAAACGAUACAGAGAUUAGCAUGGCCCCUGCACAAGGAUGAUGUGCAAAUAAUUCCAUAUUUUU
ensembl:snRNA U6 U6 spliceosomal RNA